AAAUGAUUCAAAAAAAUCUCAUAAACUAUAAAAAUCUGGGAUCUUGUGAAAGACAAAUCUGCCACUUAACCGGGAGGAUGAUGUUUCCAGUUAUCUCAUCCGAUUAAUCCAAGAACUGAUGAACUGAAGUCAGUCUUUCUAUGGCUGCAUCACUCUCAUUUUCUCUCACUCUCUCCUCCGAUCCACAACCCCAUCAAAGACUACCCUUCUUUUUCUUAUCUCCAAAUCAUAAACGCAC
rnacentral:misc_RNA from 1 species